rnacentral:misc_RNA from 1 species
UUUUUUUUUUUUUUUUCUUUUUCUGCAACGGAGUUAUUGUUUCUCUCUCUGUAUGAGCGUAGAGAGACGAAGCCAAUAGCAAAAAUGCCAAAAGUUUUCAUUUAAGAGACGCCUUUUUUUAGAAAAAAAAAAUACCUGAAUGAAAAAAAAUUAAUAAUUGAUCUUGGAAUUCAGCAACAGUGCGAAUCCCCAUAAGCAUUUGAUGCCAAUUAUUGUGGAGUCUCCACCUUUCCUCUGUCUACUAAUUUUUUAUUGGUUUAAUAUUUUUUUCUACUAUUAUUUCAUCUUUUAGGUAGUGUCAUUAUCCUUCAGCGUUAUAGUUAUUGCAUGGUGAUAUAGCCUUAGCCCAAAAUCCAAACUCUUUACUAGGAGCAAUUAUAUUAAUGCCUGAGUUUUUAUAGAUUAG